rnacentral:misc_RNA from 1 species
UGAAUACCUCUUUUUUCUUUUACAAUGUGGAUGAGAAGAUAUCCUCCUAAUCUAAUCAUAAGCAAAGGAAAACAUGACUAUAAACAUCGGAGAAAAGAAACUAUAAUAGAAGCACCUACAAUCAAGCUGAACAACAGUCAAAGGCAAACCCUUGAAAACCCUGGAUGUGCAAGCUGACAAAGAGGACAAGAAAAUAACCUCAUCCAUUAAGAGAAUGAAAGACGAAGCCUUGUUUUUAAAAGUACUGGCAAUUCUCUCCCCCAAAAUUUUUCACAACGCAGUGAAGAAGGCUUAUUUUUUAAAAAUACUGACAAUUCCAAGUAACUGGUUCUGUUUUGUUAUCAGGUUAAUUAUUUCAUUCAGCUCACAAGAGAAAUGCAGAAUGUAUGAAAAUAAAUUAAAUAAUGAAUGAGAACUGUUUAGAAAUGGCAUCAUGUAACAAUGUCUCCUUUUCUUUUGAUACAGUUCAUAGCUCACCAUGGCUCCAAGCUGGUUGAACUAGUAAAAUCACUUAGGUGGAGGAUGGAAAUGGGGUGUUGGAUUCUCCAUUCUCCAUGGGAUUCCGCCCUCAAUGGAUUGUAUAUGCCAGCCUCACAGAGAUCCCCAACCUGAUCAUGUGGAGACCCAAUGCCAUAUAUAAAAGUUAUGUUUAUUUGUUGUGAGAUUAUGCAACUCAUGCUUAUAUUUUAAGGAUUAC